rnacentral:rRNA from 1 species
UACGAAGGGGGCUAGCGUUGCUCGGAAUCACUGGGCGUAAAGCGCACGUAGGCGGCUUUCUAAGUCAGGGGUGAAAUCCUGGAGCUCAACUCCAGAACUGCCUUUGAUACUGGAGAGCUAGAGUCCGGAAGAGGUGAGUGGAACUGCGAGUGUAGAGGUGAAAUUCGUAGAUAUUCGCAAGAACACCAGAGGCGAAGGCGGCUCACUGGUCCGGUACUGACGCUGAGGUGCGAAAGCGUGGGGAGCAAACAGG